CGUGUAGGCGGUUUAAUAAGUCAGAUGUAAAAGCCCCGGCUCAACCGGGGAUGGUCAUUUGAAACUGUUAGGCUUGAGUGUGAGAGAGGGUAGUGGAAUUCCCAGUGUAGCGGUGAAAUGCGUAGAUAUUGGGAAGAACACCAGUAGCGAAGGCGGCUACCUGGCUCGCAACUGACGCUAAGGCGCGAAAGCGUGGGGAGCAAACA
rnacentral:rRNA from 1 species